rnacentral:rRNA from 1 species
AUUGAACGCUGGCGGCAUGCUUUACACAUGCAAGUCGAACGGUAACAGGCCGCAAGGUGCUGACGAGUGGCGAACGGGUGAGUAAUGCAUCGGAACGUGCCCAGUCGUGGGGGAUAACGCAGCGAAAGCUGUGCUAAUACCGCAUACGAUCUAUGGAUGAAAGCGGGGGACCGGAAGGCCUCGCGCGAUUGGAGCGGCCGAUGGCAGAUUAGGGAGGUGGUGGGGUAAGGGCCUACCAAGCCGACGAUCUGUAGCUGGUCUGAGAGGACGACCAGCCAUACUGGGACUGAGACACGGCCCAGACUCCUACGGGACGCAGCAGUGGGGAAUUUUGGACAAUGUGCGCAAGCCUGAUUCAGCAAUGCGGCGUGCAGGAAGAAGGCCUUCGUGUUGUAAACUGCUUUUGUACGGAACGAAACGGUCUGGGUUAAUACCCUGGGCUAAUGACGGUACCGUAAGAAUAAGCACCGGCUAACUACGUGCCAGCAGCCGCGGUAAAAC